AAUCUAUCGUGUCCACACCGCGAAACUACUUAUGCCCUUCUGGAGUAGGCAGACUUUACGGUUUGCCCUUCAGUUGCGCAGGUCAGGGGCUGGCUCCUUUUGGUGUCAGUUGACUUGACUGGGCGGGUCCAAUAUCAAUCGGAUUCACCGCGCCUUUCAGGCUCGGGGUUCUGCCGGUUGUGAGGGGUGGCGGUUAACUCACUUUAAGCAAUCAAUUCUGAAGACAGUUCUAUUGGCUGGCUUUGCUGGCUAUAGGCUGAAUAACUAAAGACAACUCUCAACAACGGAUAUCUUGGCUCCCGUAACGAUGAAGAACGCAGCGAAAUGCGAUACGUAGUGUGAAUUGCAGAAUUCCGUGAACCAUCGAAUCUUUGAACGCAAAUUGCGCUCGAGGCCUCGGCCAAGAGCAUGUCUGCCUCAGCGUCGGCUACUACCCUCAACCAAGUUUCCUAUUAUCAUAGGGGAUGCCGGUUGGAUCUGGCCGUCCGGUUUGCCUUUCAGGUUGCCGGUCAGCUGAAAUACAUUCACGCUCUGGGAGCUGCUUUCCUUUUGAGGGGAGGCGAGUUCCGAUUUGGUAGGUGACCUUUGCCGGUUACAUGCCUUCGUUGCCCGCUAAGCUUCCCAGUAUGCGUUGUGCAGGACGCCUUUUGGCUUUCGACCUGAGGUCAGGCAAGAACACCCGCUGAACUUAAGCAUAUCAAUAAGCGGAGGAAAAGAAACUAACUAGGAUUCCCUUAG
rnacentral:rRNA from 1 species